AUUGAACGCUGGCGGGAUGCCUAACACAUGCAAGUCGAGCGGGACGCGUACGUGUGAUUAAGGUAUGGGGAUCUGCCCGAUAGAGGGGUAUACCUACUGGAAACGGAUGCUACUACCGCAUACUAUCGCAUGAACCCAUAUAGGUGUAGCUAGUAGGUGGGGUAAAGGCUCACCUAGGCGACGAUCUCUAGCUGGUCUGAGAGGAUGAACAGCCACACUGGGACUGAGACACGGUCCAGACUCCUACGGGAGGCAGCAGUGGGGAAUAUUGCACAAUGGGCGAAAGCCUGAUGCAGCCAUGCCGCGUGUAUGAAGAAGGCCUUAGGGUUGUAAAGUACUUUCAGUGGGGAGGCGUUACCAGCAGAAGAAGCACCGGCUAACUCCGUGCCAGCAGCCGCGGUAAUAC
rnacentral:rRNA from 1 species